rnacentral:rRNA from 1 species
UACGUAGGGGGCGAGCGUUGUCCGGAUUUAUUGGGCGUAAAGAGCUCGUAGGCGGCUUGGCAAGUCGGGUGUGAAACCUCCAGGCUCAACCUGGAGACGCCACUCGAUACUGCCAUGGCUAGAGUCCGGUAGGGGACCACGGAAUUCCUGGUGUAGCGGUGGAAUGCGUAGAUAUCGGGAGGAACACCAGUGGCGAAGGCGGUUGCCUGGAGCUUUGCUGACGCUGAGGCGCGAAAGCGUGGGGAGCGAUCCGG